GACAACCAGGAGGUUGGCUUAGAAGCAGCCAUCCUUUAAAGAGUGCGUAAUAGCUCACUGGUCAAGUGGUUCUGCGCCGAUAAUGUAGCGGGGCUUAAGCACACCGCCGAAGCUGUGGAGCCCGGGAUUUGUUCUCGGGUUGGUAGGGGAGCGUCGUGCGUUCGGAGAAGCCGCCGAGUGAUCGUGUGGUGGAGGGCGUGCGAGUGAGAAUGCAGGCAUGAGUAGCGAGAGCAACGUGAGAAACGUUGCCGCCGAUUGACCAAGGGUUCCUGGGGCAGGUUAAUCCGCCCAGGGUGAGUCUGGACCUAAGGCGAGGCCGACAGGCGUAGUCGAUGGAUAACGGGUUGAUAUUCCCGUACCCGUGCACGAGCGCCCAGUAUCGAAUCAGGUGAUGCUAACCACGCCGGUGGGUUUUUGGUCCUUCGGGAUCGUUGACCGUACCGGCCUGGGAUCCGAGCUUGUAGUAGGUAAGUGAUGGGGUGACGCAGGAGGGUAGCUCUACCCGGCGGUGGUUGUCCGGGGGUAAGCGUGUAGGCCGGGGGGUUGGCAAAUCCGCCCCUCAUGAGGUUGAGACGUGAUGCCGAGCCGUUUUCGGUGAAGUGAGUGAUCCCAUGCUGUCGAGAAAAGCCUCUAGCGAGUUCGUGAGCGGCCAGUACCCUAAACCGACGCAGGUGGUCAGGUAGAGAAUACCGAGGCGUUCGGGUGAACCAUGGUUAAGGAACUCGGCAAAUUGUCCCCGUAACUUUGGGAGAAGGGGAGCCCUGUCCGGUGAAGGAGUGUGCCUCUGGAGCUGGGUGGGGUCGCAGAUAGCGGGGGGAAGCGACUGUUUAUUAAAAACACAGGUCCGUGCGAAGUCGUAAGACGCUGUAUACGGACUGACGCCUGCCCGGUGCUGGAACGUUAAGAGGACCGGUCAACGGGGGUUCGCCCCUGUGAAGCUGGGAAUCCAAGCGCCAGUAAACGGCGGUGGUAACUAUAACCAUCCUAAGGUAGCGAAAUUCCUUGUCGGGUAAGUUCCGACCUGCACGAAUGGCGUAACGACUUCCCCACUGUCUCAACCAUGGGCCCGGUGAAAUUGCACUACGAGUAAAGAUGCUCGUUUCGCGCAGCAGGACGGAAAGACCCCGGGACCUUCACUAUAGCUUGACAUUGGUGUUUGGGAUGGUUUGUGUAGGAUAGGUGGGAGCCGGUGAAGUCGUCACGCCAGUGGCGGUGGAGGCGUUGGUGAAAUACCACUCUGACUGUUUCGGGCAUCUAACCUUGG
rnacentral:rRNA from 1 species